AGAAUCAUAGAAUCACAGAAUCAUAGAAUCAUAGAAUCAUAGAAUGGCCUGGGUUGAAAAGGACCACAAUGAUCAUCGAGUUUCAACCCCCCUGCUAUGUGCAGGGUCGCCAACCACCAGACCAGGUUGCCCAGAGCCACAUCCAGCCUGGCCUGGAAUGCCUCCAGGGAUGGGGCAUGCCUCCUGGGACAACCUGUUCCAGUUCAUCACCAUCCUUUGUGUGAGUUCAGAACCAGUGGAGAUGACAAUGUGCAAUAUCACAAUGAGAAAGGGAAA
ensembl:lncRNA